GGAAAUGUGCCCGAACCCUAGGGGUCACUAUGAUAAAGUGAACAUGGAGGUGCACCAGUCCUCUCAUUUCCUAU
rnacentral:tRNA from 1 species